rnacentral:lncRNA from 1 species
GGUGCUGGGAGUAGGGCGCAAGAUGUCGGCGGAUGCAGCUCCGAGGAGGUAGGCAGUGGGAGCCGGCGUUCAGUCCGGCCCGUGCCAACAGUGGUUCCUCUCUCCCCCGUAGUUCGAGGAGACCACGCGCUGCCCCUCUGGCACGAUCGUGGAUGAACCCCCUGGCAACUGAAAUGGGAAAGGCAGCGCCCCCGACUCUGGGGACUGGACCGAAGUCCACGGUAGUGACAGCUGCCAGACCCUGAGGAGAGGACGAGAAGACCCGAGGCCUCUGCUACGAACACUGGCAGCCGAUGGAAAAUUCAGACGGAUUUGGGACAGUAUGCAGAGUUCUCCAAGCGACAGAUUAACAGAGGCUCUUGAAGAAUAACUGCGUAAUCACGUGUUCUGCUCAAAAGAAGGCCUGAAUGCCCAGUGCCUUAUUUGGCUUUCAGGGUUGGUGAAAGAAAAAGCAAAGUAGAUGCUUUCUAAUGCUAAGUCAUUUAAUGUAGCACCAUUCCUUGAACUUCUUUCAUCUCUAAGGUCGUCCCUUUCACCUGAUGAUGACCUUUGGGCCAUCGUACAGGCAUGUGUAAACUUGGAGAUCUUCCUCAACAUUGCACCAUAUCUUGGGUUCAUUCAAGGCAGAGUCUCCUUGCAAAAGCAUUCUAAAACAAUGUAAAGUCGAAGAGAGUAGAGCAAUACCUCCAUAGUUGGAAAAUGUGGAGGAGGCCAAUUAAGGGACAGAAAAAGAAGUGCAGAGAAUCUUGGAAUUGUUGCAAAAUUAUUCUGGAGAUAUUUCUAAGUCUCCUCUAUCCUUUUCCUUAGUGAUUAAUACAGGUUUUUAUAUUAAGUGGACAGUAAAAUCCAAACAGAAAGAGGUAUAUGUCGUAUAAUGAAGCCUAUGUUCAAAGUAUAUCUGAAAUUUGUUUUUAUAAUGUCUUUCUUGAGAGCUUAUAAAGAUGUCAGUAUUCUGUGGGAAACAAAUUGGCACAUGCAUAAAAGAGAAAAAAUGAAAAAAAUCAGGCCCAACUUUCAGUUUACAGAUGAGGAAACUGUGACAUAGAAAAGGAAAUGACAAAGAUCACACUGAAUCAGACCUGGGAACUGGAGCCCAGCCAUGCUCCUUGGCCCAGUGCCUCUUCUUAUUCUAGGAGCUCAUACCCCUUUGAAAGAAACAUAAUAUGAAUGUGUCUUCAAAUGAUGCUCAUAAAUCUCUUCAUCAUACUGAGGGAGGGAGAUAAGGGGAUUAGUUCUUCAGGAUCUAGACAGGCUUUCAAGAAAAUCUUUAGCUGGGUGCGGUGGCUCAUUCGUGUAAUCCCAGCGCUUUGGGAGGCUGAGGCAGGUGGAUCACCUGAGGUCAGGAGUUCCAGAUCAGGCUGGCCAACAGCGUCUCUACUAAAAAUACAAAAAUUAGCCAGGCAUGGUGGCGGGAGCCUGUAAUCCCAGCUACUCGGGAGGCUGAGGCAGGAGAAUCGCUUGAACCUGGGAGGCGGAGGUUGCAGUGAAGUGAGAUCGUGCCAUUGCACUCCAGGGCAACGAGUGAAACUCCAUCUCAAAAAAAAAAAAAAAAUCAUCAUCAUCAUCAUCUUAGCAGAGCUCUCGCUAAAUGAUAAAGACUUGGCAACUGAUAUCCUUUUUUUCAGAGAACUUAAGUAGAGACUGGAUAAUCACUAAUUGGGGUUGUGUUUAAGGGCAUUCAAACCUCUGAAAUCUCUUCCAUCUGCAGGUCUAAUUAUUUGGUUACUCUUUCAGUACAUGUGUGCAGGAAGCAUGGGGGGAAAGAAAACUAAUCCCUCUCCAAAGUCUUCUUUGAAUAGGUAUUAUGUUUGCAUUUUCAUACAUGUUAGUUCACUUAGUCUUCACCAUAGGCUUUCUAGGUUGGUAUUAUUCUUAGUCUACCUAAGAAGUUCACAAAGGUUAGGUGACAUGCUCCAAGCCACACAGAUGAUAGGCGGCACAACCAGAUGAUACUACAGGUCUCCAGAUGAGUGAGCCAAUGAUUACAUAGUUUGUUCCCCAGCCCCUCCCCAGUGUAGGUAAAGUGCCUGCACUGCUCACUGGGUCAUCAGAGCAAGUUGCUCCCACUGCCCUCUUGGUCUAACGGCUAGAAACAAAGCUGCAACAGAGGCCCACUCCUACUAGGAGACAGGCAUUUUAAUUGGCACCUCCUUACAAAGGCUCCAGUGUUCUAGAGCUUUGCAUACAGGAAGAUUCUCGUUGAACAAUGAAGCCAAACCUCGCUUCCAAAAUUCCCAGUUUGGUAGUUCACUGUGGAUGAAGAGGCCGGAGACACCCUUAGACAAGCUGGGACCGUGAUGAUAGGAACCAGUUUGUGAAGGGAGGAGGCUGGGCUAACAGGAUCUAGGGAGAUAGAUGAUAUCUGGACCUUAGGUAGUUCGUGUUACUCAAAGUCAGCAAGGUUUUUGUUGUUUUUUGAGACAGUCUUGUUAUGUUGCCCAGCCUGGAGUGCAGCAGUGCGAUCUCAGCUCGCUGCAACCUCCACCCCGUGGGUUCAAGCAAUUCUUGUGCCUCAGCCUCCUGAGUAGCUGGGACUACAGGUGCGGGCCGCCACACUUGGCUAAUUUUUUGUACUUUUAGUAGAGAUGGAGUUUCACCAUGUUGGCCAGGCUGGUCUUGAAGUCCUGUCCUCAAGUGAUCUGCCUGCCGCAGCUUACCACAAGUGCUGGGAUUACAGGUGUGAGCCACUGCACCUGGCCAAGAUCAUUUGAUGUUCUUGGGUGAAUGGCCACUUUCACCUGGAUCCCACCAAUUUUUGGUGCCCUAGGGAGCAUGAUCCAGAGUUCCCUCAAGACAGAGGAUGUGCUAAAGGCAAACUCCAGAGGUCAUCCUAUCCCCAUGCCUUCCGCCUUUCUAAAGAGAAGCUCUUCUGCCCUGCUGUUACCACUCAGUACUCUAGAUUAAACCUGUUCCCCACGUUCAUUCUGUACCCAUGACUAUAUUUCUGCUUCCUGGAAAGUUGUAGCCAUAGGAAUGAAAAACUCACCAAUCAGUUGUGGUCUUCCUGAGGCAAGUCAGUCACCUUCCUACUCUGGUAUCUUCCAUGGCUACCAGCUGGCCACAGAACCAAGCACUGACUCACCAGCCUCCAGUCUGGUUCCUUUUCAGCCUUUUUGCCACCCCUACAGCCCAUACUACAUCAUCCAUUCUGGCCAUCUCAGAUUCUUCCUUGCUAGCUCCCACCUUUCCCUGCAUCCAGUCCUCUGUACUAUUUCAUCUAUUUGAACACUCUUUUCUCCCUGCAUCCUGGGUCUCCAUUCAAAUCUUCCUCUUCCCUGGAAGUACAGCUUCAGUGGUUAACAUCACAAAGCAAAGCUGACUUCAGCAAACUUUCCAAGACAACCAGGGACCAACACAGUUCAGAUUAAAGGGGAUAAAUAAAGUGGCUUUAAGAUCACUUGUAGUUCAGAGGUCACCCAGGGGAUUAGGAUCUAUGCAGAGACCUGCAGAGCCACGCUGCUUCCCCAAGGGACCCCCUUCAUGCUGCUGGAACUUGCCCUACCCCUCAGGAGAAACUGGGCUGCUGUAGCUGCGUCACGCAGGCGGCUGUGGGCCAGCCCGGAGCAAAACUGUGUUGCUUGGCAUUUCUCCACUUCCUCUCGUGGCCGACGUCAUUCUGUGACUGUGCAGGGAUUCAUGCUCGCCAUUGCACUCCACAGUGAGAUACUUGAAUUGAUUUAAAAUUUAUUCACCCCAGUGUUCACUCCCACCUUAGCCCCAUUCCAUGCGCCCUUACCCUUACUCAUCGCAGUAUCAAAAUAACUCCCAAAUGGGAUUGCUGUGCUUGAACACCUCCCAUCAUGCCUCUUACCUUCUGCAUGCAUUUAGUUAGUUCCUGAAGCAUACAGCCCCCUCACCUGCAAGCCCCGCCUCAGCGCACACCCUUGCCAGGUUGGAGGAAGUCCUGGUACCCGGAGCAGUUUGCUUUGUUUUUGCAGUGUCAGUGAUCUCACAAGCACUUGGUUGGCCACACAGUCCUAUCGAUAACUUCCAGCAGAUAACCCAAGUGGGUGACUGGGGGGUGGAAGCCAGGUCUCGGUUCCUGUGUGUGACCCAAGGCCCCCCAGCACAGGGCCCACCCUCUCAUCUGGCUCAGCCAGGUCUUGCAGAAUGGGCUCUGCUGAGAUCUAACCAGACACAUUUGCUAUCUGUUAGGUGAGCUCAUUCCUGGAACCUAGCAGGUAUUCCGUUCAUGGCUGACUCUCAAGGGAAUGAAGGGAAAAGGAAGAGCGGGUCUGAGAUCCUUUGGAUUAUCUUUACGAAGCAAAAGCUUCUGUGAACUGUGAUCUUCAGAACGAAUGCUGGGCCUAUCCAGGUCUGUCCGCAGUACCCAAAGUCGUAGCUCCGUGAUGAGCUAUGAUGUAGCCCAGCCACACUCAGUGACGGCUCCUGGUUCCUCACUUGCCAGGGCAGCUUCAGUUCCUGCCGCGGUGUCAGUGCAGAUUGAUUCCCGCUGCGUUACUGAACGAACUCCUGACCCUGGGCUCUGAGCUGAUGAGCUGGCUCCAGAAGGUGUUAAUCAUCAUCACUCAGGUGUGCUGUCCUCACAGAGUCCUGGUGCACCUGGGAUCCCAGUAGCUCCACAUUUUCUUUGCUGCCUUCGAGGUUCACAUCUUCAGGGUCCCACUAUGGAGAAAAGAUGCAAAGGGUAGCUGGGUGGAACGGAUAGAUGCUUCUCAUCUGUCAUAACCCCUGACCCAAACAAAAGCUCCAAUCUUGGUUCUCAUGAUCCAGGCACAGACAAGGACAAAAGGGUAAGGACAAGUUACCCAGGCCUGUGUUUCUGGGACCUAAGGAGGCAAGCAUAACUUUACAUCAAGCAACUAAUGAACAACCACCCUAAACAUAACAGCUUCACUUUCCUUCCCGCCCUCAUUCUCCACUCUUCUCUGCCUCUACCAAGUCCUUAUCUAGUGACACUGAGUCAUGUUCUCCUUAUCCUGACUCCAUGCCUAACUCAUUCCUGGAAAAAACCAGGCAAACUUAAUCCUUUUUUAUUUUUUUAAGACAGGGUCUUGCGGUGUCACCCAGGCUAGAGUACAGUGGUGCAAUCAUAGCUCACUGCUGCCUCAAACUCCUAGACUCAAGCAAUCCUCCUGCUUCAGCCUCCCGAGUAGCUGGGACUACAGGUGUGUACCACAAUGCCUGGCUAAGUUUUUAAUUUUUAGUAGAGAUAAAGUCUUGCAAUGUUGCCCAGGCUGAUCUCGAACUCCUGGACCUAAGCAGUCCUCCCGCCUCAGCCUCCCAAAGUGCUCAGCUUACAGGCUUGAGCCACCAUGCCCAGCUUCAACCUAUUCUUUAUGGGCCAGGUAAAUACCUCUUCCCCCAGGAAGCCUACCUUGACCGUGUUAGCCCAUUGAGCUCUCACCUGCCUUUCUCUUUGUAUUACCUAUUCCACUGAUUUGCCCCUGAGCACGGACAGCCCUGGCGUUUAUGCGGACAUCUGCCUUGUUGUCUCAGGUAGAUGAUGGGCUCCACGGGAACAGAGCAAACGUUCGCUCCUGCUCCUACACGGUGUUUCCUCUAAACCUGAGGCUCAGCCGACUUGUCAUCACUUAAAACCCAAUUCAGAGCGGGGGGGCACUGCCAGUGAAUAGUUCAUCACCGACUCAGGUGGGUUUGGGAAGUUGAAAUUUGCAGGGGUGAGUGACGGGUUAAUACAAGUGGGCACAGAAGCAUUGACAAAGCUGUCUGUGAAGCCCUCCUGCUGUUCUAAGAUGAUGGAUUAGAGCCCAAGGGGAUCCUUGGUGUUACCUUUGAGGUUCCAGCCAUGGAGGCAAGUAGGGAUUGGGCUCCAGUUCUCCUCCUGUCACUAAUUUGCCUUCGUUUUUGGGGCCUCAGUUUCCCCAUGUGUAUGCUGUGGUAUUGGAUCAGCAACGAGAUAAGAAGAUCUCUCCCAUUUCCAAGCGUCUAUGAUGAUUCUGAGGCACAAGGUCACAUUUGACAGUACUAGGAAACCCAGGAAACAAGAAGCAAAGAUGACAAAGGCUGUGUCUGCCUGGGCAGACGAUCUAUUUGGACAAGAUAAUAGACCCAGGCAUGGACAUGCUCUCCAAGAAAGAUGCCCUGACAGCUGCUCACACUGAAGCUGAAUCGAACAUUCCAAUCCUUAGAGGUUCCAGCGAAGAUCUUGAAGUCUCCCUGAGCCAUUGACACAAUGGCCAUGCCAUCCCAGUGAUAAAACACAAAUUGUGGCCUUGUUUUGGACAGAAAUAAAGAGCCCAGUUUGUUAGUGAUUUACUGAUAAUAACUGAAUCGAGUACUAAUACUUGGCGAUUUUAAAAGCCAUCAUGUUAAAAAGACCACCUGAUUCCCAGUGACCCUGCAGUGACUGGGUUUGGGCAGCUCGUCCCCUGCACCUGUUUGGGGCUGUGCCAGCCACUUCCAGUGAGAACAUCGCAUUAACUUGCGGUCGCAGACCUGGCUGGACCCCUUGAACCAAAUUCCUUUCUGACCUUAUCAGACCCCAAAUAAAAGAGCUCACCAGGCCCCUCAGCCUACGUGACCCACCUGCCCAGUGAAAAAAGUAGGGCCCUGUUCUGUUCUCUGAGGAUGGUCAGUGUGCUCUUUGAUGAAAACGGUUUCUAAGCUGAGGCCUGAGACCUAGAUCAUUGUUCUCACAGCGUGUGCUUGACCAGCCACACCAGAAGCACCCAGGCUGCUGGCUAAAAACACUGAUGCUGGGGCCCACCCUAGCCCCUGGGUAGGGGGUAGAGACCUAAGGUUUGGCAUUUUUACAAGCUCCUAGGGUGAUUCUUAGAUGCCCUGAUGAUUGAGAACCACUGCUCGAGCUUCUUAAAUGGCUGCUGAAGAAUGAUUCUUGCCAACCGUGACCAGUUCAGCAGCCUGCAGACAGAAACCUGUCACUUUGAUCAGGUGAGCUCUUUAAACUAGUACAGGCCGGGCACGGGGACUCACGCCUGUAAUCUCAGCACUUUGGGAGACUGAGGCGGGCAGAUCACCUAAGGUCAGGAGUUCAAGACCAGCCUGGCCAACAUGGUGAAACCCCGUCUCUACCAAAAAUACAAAAAUUAGCCAAGUAUAGUGGUGGGCGCCCGUAAUCCCAGCUACUUGGGAGGCUGACACAAGAGAAUCGCUUGAACCUGGGAGGCAGAGGUUGCAGUGAGCUGAGACUGUGUGAUUGUACUCCAGCCUAGGCAACAAGAGCGAAACUCCAUCUCAAGAAAUAAAUAAAUAGGCUGGGUGUGGUGGCUCACGCCUGUAAUCCCAACACUCUGGGAGGCUGAGGCGGGUGGAUCACCUGAGGUCAGGAGUUCGAGACCAGCCUGGCCAACAUGGUGAAACCCCAUCUCUAUUAAAAAUACAAAAAAUUAGCCAGGCAUGGUGACAGGCGCCUAUAAUCCCAGCCACUUGGGAGGCUGAAGCAGGAGAAUCGUUUGAACCCCGGAGGCGGAGGUUGCAGUGAGCCGAGAUCACGCCACUGUACUCCAGCGUGGGCGACAAGAGUGAAAUUCUGUCUCAAAAAAUAAAUAAAUACAUAAAUAAGUAAGUAAAAAUAAAGUGGUACAAAUCUUAGAAAACAUUUAGAAUCUAUUUUUUCUGACUCUCCAGAAUAAUGUGUUUUAAAACUUCAUUAUUUAUUUAUUUAUUUAUUUUGAGACAGAGUCUCACUCCAUCACCCAGGCUGGAGGCAUGAUCUGGGCUCACUGCAACCUCUGCCUCCUGGGUUCAAGUGAUUCUCCUGCCUUAGUAUCCUGAGUAGCUG